GACGAACGCUGGCGGCGUGCUUAACACAUGCAAGUCGAACGGAAAGGCCCUGCUUUUGUGGGGUGCUCGAGUGGCGAACGGGUGAGUAACACGUGAGUAACCUGCCCUUGACUUUGGGAUAACUUCAGGAAACUGGGGCUAAUACCGGAUAGGAGCUCCUGCUGCAUGGUGGGGGUUGGAAAGUGUCGGCGGUUGGGGAUGGACUCGCGGCUUAUCAGCUUGUUGGUGGGGUAGUGGCUUACCAAGGCUUUGACGGGUAGCCGGCCUGAGAGGGUGACCGGCCACAUUGGGACUGAGAUACGGCCCAGACUCCUACGGGAGGCAGAAGUGGGGAAUAUUGCACAAUGGGCGGAAGCCUGAUGCAGCAACGCCGCGUGCGGGAUGACGGCCUUCGGGUUGUAAACCGCUUUCGCCUGUGACGCAGCGUGAGUGACGGUAAUGGGUAAAGAAGCACCGGCUAACUACGUG
rnacentral:rRNA from 1 species